AUCGAACUUUCUUCUUCCUCUCUUCUCCCGACUCUCCUCUUUCCCCCGACUCCACUCCUUCUCGUUUCCUCUUGCGGGCGGAUCUGUGGCGAUCAACGACAUCGCCGGAGGAGCUCAUCACCGGAGACUACCAGAGGUCAAACAAGGAGGCGGGUCAUUGGUAUUUUCUCCUCAAACCCUUCCCGAGCCCUUCUCCCUGCGCGUGCCGACCCUUUUCUUCUCCGAUCGACACCACUGGAUCGUCGAUCCAUCGAUUGCCGGCAAGAAGAGGCAUUUAGGGCUCCGAAGGUCAGGUCAUGGAUCACUUGAGUGGAUCUUGGAUUCCUCUGCCGGAGCUAGGUCUUGGCAGACGCUGGCUAGUUGAGGGUCAGUAGAUUCAAUACAUUGCAUUAUGGAUUGGAUUAGGUGACACCUUCUGGAGGCAACCGAUCGAGUACUUGGACUUUCUCUUCUUCACUGUGAUUGAGGUCUCGGUUGAAGUGGAGAAGAAUUCCAGCAGGGAGGUCUUGUUGUGGUGUUCUUGAGCUAGUAGCUCAGUUUGGUUCCGGCAGCAUCUAUCCAGAUUGAGGUGUUGUUGAUGCUGGAAUUGUGGUCGUAAGGGGAUUUUCAACAGCAUCACCUGUGGCUUUAGAUCGUGAGGACUCUGAUUCGAGACGAGCAUCUCAACAUUGGAUUAGGACUGGAUUGUACCUUCUAUUUG